UACAUGGAUAACUGUGGUAAUUCUAGAGCUAAUACAUGCUAAAAAUCCCGACUUCGGAAGGGAUGUAUUUAUUAGAUUAAAAACCAAUGCCCUUCGGGGCUCUCUGGUGAUUCAUAAUAACUGCUCGAAUCGCAUGGCCUUGCGCCGGCGAUGGCUCAUUCAAAUUUCUGCCCUAUCAACUUUCGACGGCUGGGUCUUGGCCAGCCAUGGUGACAACGGGUAACGGAGGGUUAGGGCUCGACCCCGGAGAAGGAGCCUGAGAGACGGCUACUACAUCCAAGGAAGGCAGCAGGCGCGCAAAUUACCCAAUCCCAAUUCGGGGAGGUAGUGACAAUAAAUACUGAUACAGGGCUCUUUUGGGUCUUGUAAUCGGAAUGAGAACAAUUUAAAUCCCUUAACGAGGAACAAUUGGAGGGCAAGUCUGGUGCCAGCAGCCGCGGUAAUUCCAGCUCCAAUAGCGUAUAUUAAAGUUGUUGCAGUUAAAAAGCUCGUAGUUGAACCUUGGGCCUGGCUGGCCGGUCCGCCUCACCGCGUGCACUGGUCCGGCCGGGCCUUUCCCUCUGGGGAGCCGCAUGCCCUUCACUGGGCGUGUCGGGGAACCAGGACUUUUACUGUGAAAAAAUUAGAGUGUUCAAAGCAGGCCUAUGCUCGAAUACAUUAGCAUGGAAUAAUAGAAUAGGACGUGUGGUUCUAUUUUGUUGGUUUCUAGGACCGCCGUAAUGAUUAAUAGGGACAGUCGGGGGCGUCAGUAUUCAAUUGUCAGAGGUGAAAUUCUUGGAUUUAUUGAAGACUAACUGCUGCGAAAGCGUUCGCCAAGGAUGUUUUCAUUAAUCAGGAACGAAAGUUAGGGGAUCGAAGACGAUCAGAUACCGUCGUAGUCUUAACCAUAAACUAUGCCGACU
rnacentral:rRNA from 1 species